rnacentral:ribozyme from 1 species
AGUUGCAAGUUCAAGGCCACAGCAGAAGCGCUCAUAAGCAGGGCCAUGUCAGAUUCCAAUGAAUCUGUAAAUUCUGCU